rnacentral:rRNA from 1 species
UACGGAGGGGGCUAGCGUUGUUCGGAAUUACUGGGCGUAAAGCGCACGUAGGCGGAUUGUUAAGUCGGGGGUGAAAUCCUGGAGCUCAACUCCAGAACUGCCUUCGAAACUGGCGAUCUUGAGUCCGGGAGAGGUGAGUGGAACUGCGAGUGUAGAGGUGAAAUUCGUAGAUAUUAGGAAGAACACCGGUGGCGAAGGCGGCCCACUGGUCCGGUACUGACGCUGAGGUGCGAAAGCGUGGGGAGCAAACAGG